rnacentral:tRNA from 1 species
GUGAGCGUAGCUUAAUUGGCAAAGCCCCGGGAUGUGACCCCGUGAGAUGCCGGUUCAAAUCCGGUCGCCCACCCCA